UACGGAGGGUGCAAGCGUUAAUCGGAAUUACUGGGCGUAAAGCGUGCGUAGGCGGUUCGUUAAGUCUGUUGUGAAAGCCCCGGGCUCAACCUGGGAAUGGCAAUGGAUACUGGCGAGCUAGAGUGUGUCAGAGGAUGGUGGAAUUCCCCGGUGUAGCGGUGAAAUGCGUAGAGAUCGGGAGGAACAUCAGUGGCGAAGGCGGCCAUCUGGGACAACACUGACGCUGAGGCACGAAAGCGUGGGGAGCAAACAGG
rnacentral:rRNA from 1 species